rnacentral:misc_RNA from 1 species
AUGCGAUAAGUAAUGUGAAUUGCAGAAUUCAGUGAAUCAUCGAAUCUUUGAACGCACAUUGCGCCCGCCAGUAUUCUGGCGGGCAUGCCUGUUCGAGCGUCAUUACAACCCUCCGGCCCCCGGGCCUGGCGUUGGGGAUCGGCGGAAGCCCCCUGCGGGCACAACGCCGUCCCCCAAAUACAGUGGCGGUCCCGCCGCAGCUUCCAUUGCGUAGUAGCUAACACCUCGCAACUGGAGAGCGGCGCGGCCACGCCGUAAAACACCCAACUUCUGAAUGUUGACCUCGAAUCAGGUAGGAAUACCCGCUGAACUUAAGC